CACUACAUGGAUAACUGUGGUAAUUCUAGAGCUAAUACAUGCUAAAAAGCCCGACUCCGGAAGGGCUGUAUUUAUUAGAUGAAAAACCAAUGCCCUCUGGGCUCACUGGUGAUUCAUGAUAACUUCUCGAAUCGCAUGGCCUUGCGCCGGCGAUGGUUCAUUCAAAUUUCUUCCCUAUCAACUUUCGAUGCGAGGGUAUUGUCCUCGCAUGGUUACAACGGGUAACGGAGGGUUAGGGCUCGACCCCGGAGAAGGAGCCUGAGAAACGGUACGUUAAUUCCCCCCCCCCAAGUUCGUCUUGAUCCGCAACGGGCCGUGUACUAACCAGAUCCAACAGGCUACUACAUCCAAGGAAGGCAGCAGGCGCGCAAAUUACCCAAUCCCGACACGGGGAGGUAGCAACUAAAAAUACGAAUACAGGGCUCUUUUGGGUCUUGUAAUUGGAAUGAGUACAAUUUAAAUCUCUUAACGAGGAACAAUUGGAGGGCAAGUCUGGUGCCAGCAGCCGCGGUAAUUCCAGCUCCAAUAGCGUAUAUUAAAGUUGUUGUGGUUAAAAAGCUCGUAGUCGUUUUUUGGGUUUGGCUGGCCGGUCCCCCUCACCGGGUGCACUGAACCAGCCGAACCUUUCCCUCUGUGGAACCCCAUGGCCUUCACUGGUCGUGGCGGGGAAACAGGACUUUUACUUUGAAAAAAUUAGAGUGCUCCAGGCAGGCCUAUGCUCGAAUACAUUAGCAUGGAAUAAUAAAAUAGGACGCGUGGUUCUAUUUUGUUGGUUUCUAGGACCGCCGUAAUGAUAAAUAGGGACAGUCGGGGGCAUCAGUAUUCAAUUGUCAGAGGUGAAAUUCUUGGAUCUAUUGAAGACUAACUACUGCGAAAGCAUUUGCCAAGGAUGUUUUCAUUGAUAAGGAACGAAAGUUAGGGGAUCGAAGACGAUCAGAUACCGUCGUAGUCUUAACCAUAAACUAUGCCGACUAGGGAUCGGACGAUGUUACUACUUGACUCGUUCGGCACCUUUCGAGAAAUCAAAGUGCU
rnacentral:rRNA from 1 species